rnacentral:rRNA from 1 species
AGCGGCGGACGGGUGAGUAACACGUGGGUAACCUACCUAUAAGACUGGGAUAACUCGGGAAACCGGAGCUAAUACCGGAUAAUAUUCGAACCGCAUGGUUCGAUAGUGAAAGAUGGUUUUGCUAUCACUUAUAGAUGGACCUGCGCCGUAUUAGCUAGUUGGUAAGGUAACGGCUUACCAAGGCGACGAUACGUAGCCGACCUGAGAGGGUGAUCGGCCACACUGGAACUGAGACACGGUCCAGACUCCUACGGGAGGCAGAGCA